UUCAUAUCUAGUUUUAAACACUGAUCAGACAUUCUUCAAUUCCGCCAGUAGUUUGAUUUUCAUGAAAUCAUUCUUUUUGUCUGGUUUUUGUUUUCAUCAAAUGGUCUGAUUGUCUCAUUGCUUGUGGGCAUUCAGGGACAGAAUUAUAAGACAACCCAUAUCGGAGCAAUACGAAAUAACCCGUGAGCAAGUGCCUAUAAAAAUGGAGCAGACAGGGAGAAGAAAGCACGCAGCCGCGCGGUGAGCACAAAGCGAACUAUUCUUUCGCCUUUUACUAAAGAAUACCGUGUGCGCGCCGCAAUCAGCGGCAUACGCUUAUUUUUGGAGGGUUCUUUUCCUUGGGGGAAGUACCCUAACUGAACAGUUCAAAGUUUUGCUUCUCUUCUACCAUUAUAAUAAUCGUAGAAAUAUUGUCCGAGUCCGGUAUUUGGGUUCGAUUCUAGAUGAACUUCUAAUUUGUGAGCGUCUUUAUAGUGUGUCCGAGUCUUCUCUCCUCGUGCUGUCAUUACUCCCGUCAAAUCCUUUGCAGAGUCACCAGACCUCAGCUUUUUAAGCUUUGGAGGGGAUAAAACUCAACUCGAUACUCAUAUAGUAAGUGAUCUAUCUAUGUUGAUUCCAUCAUUUUUUCUGUUCCGGUACAUUAACUAAAAGCUUAAGAUUUAAAUGGGCUCAUCCAUAUAUAAUAAUCAUUAUUAUACAUUUUUUUAUUUACCUCAGUUCUCGAAAUGCCCUUUAUAUAAUAUACUCCCUCACUCUUCUGGUAUAACAUAAUUUAUCGAUGGGAAAUAUAUUUGGAUAACAAGUUCCUGCUUUUAGAUUCCAUCUUUUACUAUCAGAGUAAAAGCCUUGAAAUCUGAUCACUUGACAAAAAAGGAGAGCAGUGAUCUACAAGUAUUUUUUCAGUCCUUAAUCCUUAGCUCUGCAACUGCAUAUCAGUAUCUGACGUAAUAAGCAACAUUUGGUAUGCCAUUAUUUUGUGUCUGAACAAGUUUUAUGGCAUUGUAAUCUGCUGUCAGACAUUUCUUGGUACUGUCAAAUACGCAUAGAUUAUCAUCAAUUGUCACAAGAUUGGGGAUGAUGCAUUGAUCAAGGUCUCGAUACAAAGCUUCGGAGGAACCUGCCCAAAUUCUCUCACCAAAUCAACCUUUGAAGCUCAUUUUUGGGAACAGAUACCUGGGAUGGAAAUGCUUUACUUACAACCUUCACUAAUUCUAGAUUUUGAUUCUCUACCAUACAAUCAAUCAGUUUUGUAGGCAUCAACAUAUCUCUACUCGGUAUUAAAUAUAACUCAUUGGACUAGAGAAAAUGCGUGUGCAGGUGCAUUGAGAAUGCAGUGAAGCGUUGUACGCUCACCUUUACAAUCCCACACAGAGAAAAGACAACGUUUAAGCAAGGAAUGUGUCUAUAAAUAAGAAGCUCGAAGCAACAUGUUCCAUACUUACCUGGACGGGGUCUAUGGGCGAUCAAGAAGUUUCAUUGCCUAUGUCAGUGACGUCCAUUGCACUGGGGAUGGGUGCUGGCUUAAGGUCUCUUCAAGUGGGAGAUCCCACGUCAAAAUUUGUGGCAGAGGGGGCUGCGCAAGCCGCGGCCCCUGUUCAAUUCUAUCUCAAGAUUUCUUGUAAUUCCAACUUGGAAGUCCGAUUCUAAAUUCGAAGUUCAUAUAUUACUAAUAUGGAGCAUCGGUUAGAUAA